rnacentral:rRNA from 1 species
UGCGUAGGCGGAAUGAUAAGUCAGUGGUGAAAUCCUGCGGCUCAACCGUAGACAUGCCGUUGAUACUGUUAUUCUUGAAUGUAGUUGAGGUAGGCGGAAUGUGUAAUGUAGCGGUGAAAUGCUUAGAUAUUACACAGAACACCGAUUGCGAAGGCAGCUUGCUAAACUAUGAUCGACGCUGAUGCACGAAAGCGUGGGUAGCGAACA